CUCCGGGAAACCGGGGCUAAUACCGAAUAAUCUGUAUAGUUUCACCUCAUGGUGAAAUAUUGAAAGACGGUUUCGGCUGUCGCUAUAGGAUGGGCCCGCGGCGCAUUAGCUAGUUGGUGAGGUAACGGCUCACCAAGGCGACGAUGCGUAGCCGACCUGAGAGGAUGCUAUCGGCCACACUGGGACUGAGACACGGCCCAGACUCCUACGAGGCAGCAGUAGGGAAUCUUCCACAAUGGGCGAAAGCCUGAUGGAGCAACGCCGCGUGAGUGAAGAAGGAUUUCGGUUCGUAAAACUCUGUUGUAAGGGAAGAACAAGUACAGUAGUAACUGGCUGUACCUUGACGGUACCUUAUUAGAAAGCCACGGCUAACUACGUGCCAGCAGCCGCGGUAAUACGUAGGUGGCAAGCGUUGUCCGGAAUUAUUGGGCGUAAAGCGCGCGCAGGUGGUUUCUUAAGUCUGAUGUGAAAGCCCACGGCUCAACCGUGGAGGGUCAUUGGAAACUGGGAGACUUGAGUGCAGAAGAGGAUAGUGGAAUUCCAAGUGUAGCGGUGAAAUGCGUAGAGAUUUGGUUAGCUAACACCAGUGGCGAAGGCGACUAUCUGGUCUGUAACUGACACUGAGGCGCGGCGUGGGGAGCAAACAGGAUUAGAUACCCUGGUAGUCCACGCCGUAAACGAUGAGUGCUAAGUGUUAGGGGGUUUCCGCCCCUUAGUGCUGCAGCUAACGCAUUAAGCACUCCGCCUGGGGAGUACGGUCGCAAGACUGAAACUCAAAGGAAUUGACGGGGGCCCGCACAAGCGGUGGAGCAUGUGGUUUAAUUCGAAGCAACGCGAAGAACCUUACCAGGUCUUGACAUCCCGUUGACCACUGUAGAGAUAUGGUUUCCCCUUCGGGGGGCAACGGUGACAGGUGGUGCAUGGUUGGUCGUCAGCUCGUGUCGUGAGAUGUUGGGUUAAGUCCCGCAACGAGCGCAACCCUUGAUCUUAGUUGAUGCUCAUUUAGUUGGGCACUCUAAGGUGACUGCCGGUGACAAACCGGAGGAAGGUGGGAUGACGUCAAAUCAUCAUGCCCCUUAUGACCUGGGCUACACACGUGCUACAAUGGACGAUACAAACGGUUGCCAACUCGCGAGAGGGAGCUAAUCCGAAUGCUCGCCGUUCUCAGUUCGGAUUGUAGGCUGCAACUCCUACAUGAAGCCGGAAUUGAUCUAGUAAUCGCGGAUCAGCAUGCCGCGGUGAAUAUUAGUCGU
rnacentral:rRNA from 1 species